rnacentral:rRNA from 1 species
GAUGAACGCUGGCGGCGUGCCUAAUACAUGCGAGUCGAGCGAACAGACGAGGAGCUUGCUCCUCUGACGUUAGCGGCGGACGGGUGAGUAACACGUGGAUAACCUACCUAUAAGACUGGGAUAACUUCGGGAAACCGGAGCUAAUACCGGAUAAUAUAUUGAACCGCAUGGUUCAAUAGUGAAAGACGGUUUUGCUGUCACUUAUAGAUGGAUCCGCGCCGCAUUAGCUAGUUGGUAAGGUAACGGCUUACCAAGGCAACGAUGCGUAGCCGACCUGAGAGGGUGAUCGGCCACACUGGAACUGAGACACGGUCCAGACUCCUACGGGAGGCAGCAGUAGGGAAUCUUCCGCAAUGGGCGAGAGCUUGACGGAGCAACGCCGCGUGAGUGAUGAAGGUCUUCGGAUCGUAAAACUCUGUUAUUAGGGAAGAACAAAUGUGUAAGUAACUAUGCACGUCUUGACGGUACCUAAUCAGAAAGCCACGGCUAACUACGUG